CCUAAAAUUUCUUGAAACCGUAAAAAGUUAUGAUUACACACUGUUCUUCUUCUGCAUACAUAAGCCUCACAUGCUACCUUUUCGCUCUUCUUCCUUCAUACACGUUUCCUACUAUCUCUCUCAAAAGAUUUUAUACUUCUCUGUUUAUCUUUCCAAAUAACAACAAAUUGAUUCUUCCAACAAUCAUCUGCUCUCAAGUUUGCAAGUUCUCGCAAUGGCAAGACCUUCCGAGAAGCUGAAGGACAUCAAUGAGAGUAAGGAACUAUCCAAAAUCGCCGUCAGAAUCCAUCACAAGUGGACAGUUUUAUCAAAGACCAAGGAGCACUUCGAAUUGAUUCUGGUUGAUAAAGAGGACCAGUGUGUGAAAAUAAUAGCGCAUUUGUUCCAUGCUCCUGUCGGUGCAGAAGAAACAACGGCUGAGUUUUGAUGGCGCAGAUCCCAAGGCUUUUGUUGUAUUGAAAUGCAAGAUAAUCUUUUGUUACCUUUGGGUUUACUGGCCCAUGGAUUCAAAAUCAUAUACUGGCCAUGUCAAAAGUUAUGACAGGGAAGCUAAUAUACAUCAUGUUUACUGGCCCAUGGAUUCAAAAUCAUAUACUGGCCAUGUCAAAAGUUAUGACAGGGAAGCUAAUAUACAUCAUAUCGAGUACGAUAAUGAAGAUAAAUUUAGAUGUACUUAGAAAUAAUGUUCUGAAUGAAGGAUUUGGAUGUGCUUAGAAAUAAUGUUCUGAAGGCAGAAGCUGUAAUUAAAGCAGCAAAGAAGAAAUAUGAUGAAGAAAGUAAUCAAGUGAGUGAGGUUCUGGCUCGAUUUAAGACUGCUGAUGACAUUCGUCAAGAAGCUUUUGUCAAGCUACAGACUUUGAAUAGGAAAUUACACGAGAAGGUUUGAUCUUUCUUUCCUGUCUACUACACUCCUUUUUGUUUUCAGUGUUUCCCUGAGGAAAAAAAUUGUUGCGAGAUAUAUGUUUUGUUUAUCAGAACAGAGCAAACUUUACUCUUGGGUUGUUUCGACAAUUGAUUUUUUCCGCAAGCUUCCCCAAGACGCGGAGAAAGGUGGAAAUCCAACUCACUCACUUUUCGACAGAUAUAACAAUGCUUUUCUUCGUCGAAUUGUUACCACAGUCUUGUCCUAUGUGAACAUGGUAUGUAGUAAUCUCAGGCAUACCAUUCCCAAGUCCGUAGUUUAUUGUCAAGUGCGCGAAGCUAAGCGUAGCUUACUUCAUAAUUUCUUAGGGUGAAUAAAACUCAACCAUUGACUCUGUCUCAUCGCAACUUUCAUUUCCCAAAACACCAUAACAACAACAAUCAUCAAUAAGAACAAGAUCAUCGUCAACAACAACGAGAACAAAGUCAACGUUUGAAGAAGCCUUCAGAAACGCAAAUGCAAGGUGAAUUAGAGUUGCCACCUGGUUUCAGAUUUCAUCCAACCGAUGAAGAAUUGGUGAAUCAUUACUUGUGUAGAAAAUGUGCUGGCCAAUCAAUUUCUAUUCCUGUUGUUAAAGAAGUUGAUUUGUAUAAGUUUGAUCCAUGGCAGCUUCCUGGUACUUCAUUUUUUCACUUAUGAAUCAUUUCUUUUGUUACUUUUCUUUCUAAUUGCAUAUGAAUAAUUUGUUUUUGCUGAUGUAUGCAGAAAUGGGUUAUCACAGUGAGAAAGAAUGGUAAUUUUUCUCUCCGAGGGAUCGAAAAUACCCGAACGGUUCCCGCAUUAGUGUAGAUCCAAAUCUAAUGGUCCAUGCAUUGGUGUGUCAAUGUGUAAGAGCAGGAAGUCGUGUAGAAAAUUCUUGUAUUGUUGCUGGCAUUUUUUCAUAUAUUUGUAAUAUACUUUUCAAUUCAAAGA